UUAAAUGAGUUUCAACCCAUCAAAUUAAAUAAGUUAUGGGUUGACCCAACCCAUUUAACAAAAUGAGUUGGGUCAACCCAUAACUCAUUUAACCCUAAACUCAUUUGAUUAUGAGU
rnacentral:pre_miRNA from 1 species